rnacentral:rRNA from 1 species
GAUGAACGCUGGCGGCGUGCCUAAUACAUGCAAGUCGAGCGAACAGACGAGGAGCUUGCUCCUCUGACGUUAGCGGCGGACGGGUGAGUAACACGUGGAUAACCUACCUAUAAGACUGGGAGAACUUCGGGAAACCGGAGCUAAUACCGGAUAAUAUAUUGAACCGCAUGGUUCAAUAGUGAAAGACGGUUUUGCUGUCACUUAUAGAUGGAUCCGCGCCGCAUUAGCUAGUUGGUAAGGUAACGGCUUACCAAGGCAACGAUGCGUAGCCGACCUGAGAGGGUGAUCGGCCACACUGGAACUGAGACACGGUCCAGACUCCUACGGGAGGCAGCAGUAGGGAAUCUUCCGCAAUGGGCGAAAGCUUGACGGAGCCACGCCGCGUGAGUGAUGAAGGUCUUCGGAUCGUAAAACUCUGUUAUUAGGGAAGAACAAAUGUGUAAGUAACUAUGCACGUCUUGACGGUACCUAAUCAGAAAGCCACGGCUAACUACGUG